GCAAGUCGAGCGAUGAGAUCACUCUCCGUGAAGGAUUAGCGGCGAACGGGUGAGGAACACGUGAAGAAUCUGCCUUCAACUCUGGGAUAACUCCGGGAAAGCGGGGCUAAUACCGGAUAUGAGCCUUGAUCGCAUGAUCGGGGCUGGAAAGUUUUUCGGUUGAAGAUGACUUCGCGGCCUAUCAGCUUGUUGGUGAGGUAAUGGCUCACCAAGGCGACGACGGGUAGCCGGCCUGAGAGGGCGACCGGCCACACUGGGACUGAGACACGGCCCAGACUCCUACGGGAGGCAGCAGUGGGGAAUAUUGGGCAAUGGACGAAAGUCUGACCCAGCGACGCCGCGUGCGGGAUGAAGGCCUUCGGGUUGUAAACCGCUUUCAGCAGGGAAUAAGCGCAAGUGAAGGUACCUGCAGAAGAAGCACCGGCUAACUAUGUGCCAGCAGCCGCGGUAAUACAUAGGGUGCAAGCGUUGUCCGGAAUUAUUGGGCGUAAAGAGCUCGUAGGUGGUUUGUUACGUCGGUUGUGAAAUUCAGGGGCUCAACCCCUGACUUGCAGCCGAUACGGGCAAGCUAGAGUUUGGUAGGGGAGACUGGAAUUCCUGGUGUAGCGGUGGAAUGCGCAGAUAUCAGGAGGAACACCGAUGGCGAAGGCAGGUCUCUGGGCCAAUACUGACACUGAGGAGCGAAAGCGUGGGGAGCGAACAGGAUUAGAUACCCUGGUAGUCCACGCCGUANACGGUGGGCGCUAGUUGUGCGAACCUUCCACGGUUUGUGCGACGCAGCUAACGCAUUAAGCGCCCCGCCUGGGGAGUACGAUCGCAGGAUUAAAACUCAAAGGAAUUGACGGGGCCCCGCACAAGCAGCGGAGCAUGCGGCUUAAUUCGACGCACCGCGAAGAACCUUACCAAGGCUUGACAUAUACAGGAAUAUGGCAGAGAUGUCAUAGC
rnacentral:rRNA from 1 species